AUGGAGACAGUGACGGAAUCCAAAUUCCUGCCCCCGAGAGGCUUUCAGUCCCAUUGGAGGAGCCAAGGCUCCUGCGCACAUGGGUUUCUGAGGGAAAUGAAGACUAAAGAAAAAUCAGAGGAAUCAAGCAAGCACACUGGUCUGGAACCAAACCUGCAGUGUGUGCAGUAUGCUUGCCUAGUGUUACCCCAAACUCCUGGACUGCUGAUAUACCUGCUACUGCUGCUCUUGCUGCUGCUGCAGCCACCUUAGGGAAGCCACAGCCUGUGCUUUCAUUGACAUUGCGGGGACCCUGGGACCCUGUUGCAAGAGCCAGAGACCAUAAGCACUGAGCUGCCAAAGCUGCUGCCACUACUGCCCGAGAACCCAGGAGGGUCCCCUCGCCUGCUACUGCUGCUGCCACUGAUGAUACCAGAAGGAACAAAAUGAUGCCUCUCACUUCUUCCCUGUUUCCAGACUCCUGCCAGUGCCUGACAUUGGCAGAAGCUUACUGGAAGCCGGCUGGUGCAGGAAUUGACCUGGGAAAUGUUUGCAGGCUCCAGCAACCACAUGGGAGCACAGAUAGCCAGAGUAUUCUGGACAAAUGGUG
rnacentral:lncRNA from 13 species